AGGCCUGCAGCGUCCUCCCCCACAUCCUUGGCCCCUUAGAAGCUGGAGGACCCUCCCCACCGCAGGGCCAGCUCAGGCCUGCAGAGGCCAUGGCCCGGUGUUCCCCGCCCCUCCUGACACCUGGGCCUGCCUUUCUCCCCUCCACCUCUGCAUGCCUUGCCUUCAUAGCCCAUCCCGGGCUGGUCCUCCUCCAAGGAGCUCACGGAGCCCACGGUCCCGCAAGAAUUUCUCCGGACUUCUUUUGCCUGCCAUGCCGGGCCACGUUCAGUGACACAGCAAGUUGUCUUCUAAAUGCCAGGCACGUAAAUUCUCUGUCCCCACCUCUCCAUCUGGAUUUAGGUCCUCUUCUCCCUGCCCCCACCCGGGGGCUUCCCGCACACGAACAGGGAGGCGUUCCAGAACAGGGAGGCAAUCCAGAACAGGGAGGUUCUGGAUUGCGCUACUUCGAUGCGCGUUGUGCUUGCUGCUUUUGCCAGACUCGCUCCUGUGAAUGCUGGCACGUGGUCCUCAGUCUGGAGAGCCUGCAACUGAUGACACGUGACCCACCGUGGAAGCGGACAGAGGGGGCAGAGGCCGAGGCAGGCAGCUCGCCAAGCUCCCUGAGCCGAUCUGCAGCGCACUGAGACCUGGACCCCCCCCUCUUGCCACAGGCGGCCACUGUCCCAGCCCCUCUUCCUGAACCUCACUUGGGACGAGCGCUGAGCACCUGCGUUAGCGGGGACCCGCAGUGAGAACCGGCUUAGGCACAGACCUGAGAACCCCUCCCCAAGGGCCCAGCCUGCAACCUGGCCCCCAACCUGCUCUCUCACUUCCCUUUCUCGGUGGGUCAGCACCUGCUGAGCACGCCACACCCUCCCUCUCACCCCUGCCAGGAACACCCUCUUCCUUCCUCCCUCUCCCCUCCCCUCCCCCACCGGAGGCCUCCUUCUGGGCUGGUCCGGCUUGGCCAAAGCAAGACACGUGGCCACUUAACUUCCAGGGCUCCCGCCCGCCCAGAGGAGCGAGGGAAGGGGUGGGACAUCUGUGAACAGCCCCAGGGGGCUCCGCAUUCGUGGCAGUGGCCUCCCUUCCUGGGCUGAAGCAUCUCAGGGACUGGAGCUACCCUUGUUUUCCUCUGUAUCUCCCCCUUCCCCCUCCUCGCACGGGGUCGGGCACGCAGCGGACGCUGGGGUACUUGCCGGGCAGGUGAUGGGGGCCCACGCAAAAGGCAGCUUUGACCUGCACAGCCCCCGCCCCCUCCCAUCAAGAUGCUGACAACGGCAGUGACGGUGAUAAGUGACAUCCCUGGGCAAAGCACUGACAUUGUCACAGCUUGUCACCUACAAGGACUCAGGUGCCUGGUGCACGGGGUGGGGCUCAGCGACUUGUUCACGAUCACGCGGCUAGCCAGUGCGGGGGUGGGGGGGCGGCCAUCACCUGAGUCUGAACUCCUGAACGGUCCGCCGGACCCCUGAGCUGGAAGCGGGAGACGUGAGUUCUGGUGGCUCCCCUGCGUGGCCUUGGAUGAGAAGGCAGAAGCACAGAGAGGUUGAGUAACUCUCCGGAGGCCACACAGCAAUUUGUACCGCGUCAGAGACAGAACCUGCUAGCCUGGCUCCAGCUGCCCCCGAAACUGUAGCAUCGGGUCUGUUUCUGACCCUGAAGAGGAGUCGUGAGGACAAUAGGGGACUGGAGAAGAUUCCACAGGGCUCCCGGAGAGCAGGUCUCUUCUCUGAGGACGGGAAAGCUCUGAAGGAGAAGAGAUGUGAAGACUGAACUGUUUCUGUCUGCACAGAGACGCAGGAGAAAUGGGGUGGGGGGGGGCUCGCACGGACCUCCGGGGGCUGCAGGGAGGGGCCUGAGGGAGUGCUCGGCCCUCCAGGCUUUCUUGGCUCGGGAGCAGAGCCGGGGUGAGGAAACAGAGGUCCAGAGGGGCAAGACCAGAUAGGUAGACGGAAUGAGGGAUAACGCUCGCUCUUGGGUCGUUUUGCUCUAUAAUCUAAGGAGUAUUCGAAUGCGCCCAGACCGUGGAGAGAGGACACAGGUGUGAGAAACUGUGGCUUCGCGCAUCCCUUUGACAUUUUCCCCAGCGUCUGUGGCAGGGCGGGCGAGCCACUGACCUCUCCGAACCCUGGUCCCCUGGCCCGCAAACGCAUGGGGUCCCUAAUCAGAAGGUGCAAGCUGGCCCCCACGUGCGUGGAGCUCCUGGCCCAGACUCGGCCUUCCAUAGUCCGUAAUUGACAGCUAUUAUUAUUAUUAUUACGGCCAUAACCAUAGAUCAUUAAUUUACAGUUUAAAAACCCUUCACCUGUUUCAUUUUGCGCUGUUUUAUUGAAGAGUUAAAUUUUUAUAGGAGAUCUCCUAA